CUCAUGGUGGUGACGGAAUGGUGGUGGUGAUGUUUGCAGAUGUGGUGGCUAGGGUUCCGGUGACCCUAGAUGGUGCGGUGGCGUACACACAGUGGCAAGAGGCUAUAGGCGCGAUUGUUGAUUACCUUAUCCAGUUUUCAGGUUUUGAACCCUCCAACAAGUGGUUUGAGGCUGAGGUGACCCAUGGCCCGUUGUUGUGGGACUUUUUAGCAACACCAAGAACGGCAUCUCGCAACUCAUCGUCCUAUUCCAGCGGAUGCAGAUGAGGUUAAUUUGGUAAACUCAAAAUUUUAAGCUAGGAUGUUUAUUUAUAUUGAUCUAAUGGAAUGAGUCGAAGAGAUUUACUUUUGAGCCAACACUGAAGAAGGGAAGAUGAUGGGAAUUAAUAAUGAUAUGCAUUUGGCAGAAAGGGGUGUCGAAAUUAUCACCACAU